GUCGAGGGGCAGCAUAGAAGUUUGCUUGCAAACUUCCGAUGGCGACCGGCGCACGGGUGAGUAACACGUAUCCAACCUGCCGAUAACUCGGGGAUAGCCUUUCGAAAGAAAGAUUAAUAUCCGAUAGCAUAUCAAGGUCGCAUGAUCUUGAUAUUAAAGAAUUUCGGUUAUCGAUGGGGAUGCGUUCCAUUAGUUAGUUGGCGGGGUAACGGCCCACCAAGACAACGAUGGAUAGGGGUUCUGAGAGGAAGGUCCCCCACAUUGGAACUGAGACACGGUCCAAACUCCUACGGGAGGCAGCAGUGAGGAAUAUUGGUCAAUGGACGAGAGUCUGAACCAGCCAAGUAGCGUGAAGGAUGACUGCCCUAUGGGUUGUAAACUUCUUUUAUAUGGGAAUAAAACGUUCCACGUGUGGGAUUUUGUAUGUACCAUAUGAAUAAGGAUCGGCUAACUCCGUGCCAGCAGCCGCGGUAAUACGGAGGAUCCGAGCGUUAUCCGGAUUUAUUGGGUUUAAAGGGAGCGUAGGUGGAUUGUUAAGUCAGUUGUGAAAGUUUACGGCUCAACCGUAAAAUUGCAGUUGAAACUGGCAGUCUUGAGUACAGUAGAGGUGGGCGGAAUUCGUGGUGUAGCGGUGAAAUGCUUAGAUAUCACGAAGAACUCCGAUUGCGAAGGCAGCUCACUGGACUGCAACUGACACUGAGGCUCGAAAGUGUGGGUAUCAAACAGGAUUAGAUACCCUGGUAGUCCACACAGUAAACGAUGAAUACUCGCUGUUUGCGAUAUACAGCAAGCGGCCAAGCGAAAGCAUUA
rnacentral:rRNA from 1 species